GGUGACCUCGGGGUCCGCCGGCAGUUUUUUGUUUUGUUUUCCCGGGAGUUCUAGGGGAUCCCGGUCUUCAUGCUCCGGGGGGCAUCUUUAAGAUCCUCACCGGCCGUUCCGGGGUGACCUCGGGGCCCCGCCGGCAGUUUUUUUGUUUUGUUUUCCCGGGAGUUCUAGGGGAUCCCGGUCUUCAUGCUCCGGGAGGCAUCUUUAAGAUCCUCACCGGCCGUUCCGGGGUGACCUCGGGGCCCCACCGGCAGUUUUUUGU
rnacentral:lncRNA from 1 species